AGCCGAGUUUGUCAACAAGUUCUUCUGCGAUAUGAGGGUCAAGAUUUGGACUGUUGGGAAGAGAUCGUUUGAUGAUAGCGCUAGGAUUUUCAGCUGCUACAGUCUCAAUGUCAACACCUCCUUGGUCGGAGGCGACUAUCAUGGGGCAUUGGUUCUCACGAUCCAUUAAAAUAGCGAAGUAAUACUCUUUACGAAUAAACUUCCUCUCGCAAACAUAGACAACAUUGCAAAUCUUUCCAGCAGGACCAGUUUGUCUGGUAAUUAACUUAUGACCGAUCAUUUGUUCAGCAAACAUUCUCGCUUCUGUAGCAUCAUAAACAGGCCGUACUCCUCCACGCAGGCCACUGUCAAAUUGGCCCUUUCCACGACCGCCUGCUAGAACUUGAGCUUUAACUACCAAAUCUGUGACUUUAAGAUCACGAGCAACCUUUUCUGCCUCUUCACCGCUCCGAGCAGGAGCACCACGAGGAACGUCCACACCAAACUUUCUGAGAAUAUCAUGAGAAAUAUAUUCAUGUAAAGCUAGAUUUCUUUUUUGUAAAAAGGGAGAAAAAGCGCGAGGUGCUUUUCUCAGCACACUUCUGGUUAACAUGGUAGGAAAGUUGGAUUGAGAGAAUCUAGCGAUGAACUUAAACAAUUCUUUGAUAAAUAUAUGAGAAGCGUAGCAUACAGAUACACGUUCUUUUAAAAAAUAUAUAUAGAGAGAGUCUCCUCCUAAACUACAACAAAGAGUAGGCUGUAGAAAGACCAAUACUUGGGUGUGAGUGAUAUUGUACGUG